GGAUGAAUAUUGGUCAAUGGUGGGAACACUGAACCAGCCAUGCCGCGUGAAGGACUAAGGCGCUCUGCGUUGUAAACUUCUUUUGAUAGGGAAGAAAAAGGGCAUUUAUGCUAAACUGACGGUACCUAUCGAAUAAGCACCGGCUAACUCCGUGCCAGCAGCCGCGGUAAUACGGAGGGUGCAAGCGUUAUCCGGAAUCACUGGGUUUAAAGGGUACGUAGGCUGAGAGAUAAGUCAGUCGUGAAAUCGG
rnacentral:rRNA from 1 species